rnacentral:rRNA from 1 species
UACUCGAGUGGCGAACGGGUGAGUAACACGUGGGUGAUCUGUCCUGCACUUCGGGAUAAGCUUGGGAAACUGGGUCUAAUACCGGAUAGGAGCCAUCUUUAGUGUGGUGGUUGGAAAGUUUUUUCGGUGUAGGAUGAGCUCGCGGCCUAUCAGCUUGUUGGUGGGGUAAUGGCCUACCAAGGCGGCGACGGGUAGCCGGCCUGAGAGGGUGUACGGCCACAUUGGGACUGAGAUACGGCCCAG